UUUGUUCCCUAAAUAGGGACUUGUAUGAAUGGCCACACGAGGGCUUUACUGUCUCUUACUUCCAAUCCGUGAAAUUGACCUUCCCGUGAAGAGGCGGGAAUAUAACAAUAAGACGAGAAGACCCUGUGGAGCUUUAAUUAACCGGCCCAAAGAGACCCCAUUAUCUAACCGACAGGAACAACAAACCUCUGCUAUGGGCCGACAAUUUAGGUUGGGGUGACCUCGGAGAAUAGAACAACCUCCGAGUGAUUUAAAUCAAGACUAACCAGUCAAAAGUAUUACAUCACUUAUUGAUCCAAAAACUUGAUCAACGGAACAAGUUACCCC
rnacentral:rRNA from 1 species